UCACCAGGUUGAUUCUGCCUGACGUGGAUGCUAGUCUCAUAGAUUAAGCCAUGCAUGUGUAAGCGAAGCGAUUAGUGGAGCGGCGGACGGCUCAGUAACGGGCGAGUAUUUAAUCUCUCGAACCGGACAACCUCAGGAAACAGAGGGGAAAACGGUGUAGCCAUUCCUCCUGGGAAUGGUGAGAACAGCUUGCUGUGCGGGAGAGUAAGAAGCCAUCCCAUCAGUUAGUAAGUAGGGUAAGGGCCUACUUAGACGAAGACGGGUACGGGGGAUCAGGGUUUGGUUCCGGAGAGGA
rnacentral:rRNA from 1 species